CCGGCCCCAACUCUCCUCUCUCUCUCUCUCUCUCCCUCUCUCUCCCUCUCUGUCAUACCGUCCCACCUCCUCCCCUCCUUCCAUUCUCCUUCCAUUCUCGUACAGAUAGAGGGAGAGACGUGGAGAGGAGCUCGACGAGAAGAGGCCAGCCCAUCCGGCCAUCCAACCUUCCACCGGCCGAAGUGGGAGCACACCACCCGAAUUCAUUGAAAUGUGCCAAAAGGAAGAAAAAAGAAAAAAGAGUAGGGGACAAUGGCCAAGACCUCUCCACAAGAACACAUAUGCUUUUCCUAUGCUUUAAUUUUAUAUUGUAGAGUGGUGAUUAGAAGGUACGGAAAUCAUUUUUUGUGUAUUGAUUUAAUUGGUGGAUGGCCCACUUCAUGUUUUCCUAAGCUUUUUGGUUAUGAAAGGUGGGGCCAUUCCUUUCACUUUCCCUAUUGGUUAUUCUUCUCUCCACAUGGGAUGUGGGGUUGAUACGUUCUAUUUUCUUUUACAUGGGACCCACCAGAUUGGAAUUUUGUAUACUUUUUAGUGACAAAUAUUAGCAUACACCAUUGUAUGUGAACUUUACCAUGCAACACUUCCUUAGGUGACAAUGUUUCAAUUGUGCAGAACAUCUAGACCGUGCAAAUGAUGGACAGCACCGUAAAGAUAACAGAGGGCGAAAAACAGACCAAUCCAGUAAUUUGGUGGGCCACAUCCUUACUUCGAGUAAUUCCAUUGGCUGUCCAGUAAUUAGGUGGACCAUCCUGACUGUUGUCCUGAUGGAUCUCUAUAAAGUGGCCCAGUUUUUUAACAGCUCUAAUGUUUCAGGUGGGUGAUACAUUGCUGGGAAAGAAAGGGUUGUACCUGAAUAUUUCUCCUUUGUAUUGGUAUGUGUUGGAGGAGAGUAUGCAAUGCAUCCAAACGAGAAAUGUUAAUUCAGUGUCCCCUUCAGGUGAUGUGAGUCUGCACCCUUCCCACUUUAUUCACAUGAUAAAACAUUGCGAGUAGUCUUUUCAGGUAUUUCAAGCAUGCCAUUGAGGCACACUUGUGCAAGAUCUAGGCCAUUUAUGGGGUGAUCCUCCAUUGGGCCAGACAUGUAUGUUGAAUAUGGACUGGUGAUCAUCAAUUUCAUUCCCCCCUAUUUCUUUUAUAUGCCAAAUCCAUGGCUUUUGGGCCAGGGCAUUUACAUGUAAGUGGUGGCAAUGGGCCAGAAAGCCUAUAGAAAGAGCGCUUGGGCUGCUAAACUUGGCCCUCAGGGUCAGGCCUUGAAUUCGAGGCAGGGUGUCCGGGCAUGGACUAAUGAUAGAUGGCUGGGCCAGUCCAAUCAUCAAGUAGGCUGCUGGUGCAUAAAAGGAAUGGAUGGUGUAAAGGUGUUUGUGAGCUGCUGAUCUCAUUUAGGGCCCGUUUGGAUACCAUCAAAUAAGUUACUUAUUUCAAUAAGUUUGGUUUUUGAUUAGUUAUAAGUAACUAUUUUAAUUAAUUUUUCUUAUGCUCAUUUGUUCAUUUCUUUUAUUUCAUGUGCAGGGUUACAUUCCCUUUAGCCCUAAAGAAAGCCUUGAGUUGCUGGAUCUUCAGGCCAUAAUGUCUGCCUUAAGCAGGCCUCAUUCUGUAUCAGAGUGAUGCCAAAAAUAAAAAAUAAAAAUCAUUGCUGCAAAAGAGAGGUCCCAUUGUUAAAGUGACAAAACCAUAAAAGUAUCUCAUAGUCCUAGCUCAUAAACUUGUUUCUAUCUCUCACUGUGCUUUUGGAAGGGAAGGAGCCUACACAUCUGUACAAUAUAAUGAUUAUCGAAGCACUUUCGACCAUGCCAGAUCCAAAUGGAUCAUAAAUUGGUGCCAUUUCUAGCUUUAUUGAGAUUGCCAAUGCAGAAGGAACCAUAUGCAGGUAUCAAACUGGUGGGUUUUGUCAAUUUCUGGUAGGGGAUAAAUCGAUAUAAUUUUGAAUCAGAUUUUUGUUAAUCCCUGUUCUAGAUCUUUGUUGAUCCCCUCGUAGUAAUAAUAUCUCAGGGUUUGCAACUAUAACUGUUGACGUUUGUCGAUCUGUUCUAGGCAUGGGAGUUCGACCUUAAUGUUGGAGGGUGUCUGCUCAAUUGCUCGUUUCUGUUCACACAAGCAGCUAAUUCAAGAGGACUUGGGUGGAACCAUGGUGCCCUGCGCUGCGGCUUCUUACUCCAAGAAGCUUUCUGCUUUCCUGCAUUUUAGUCUGGACCAAAGAGUUGUAACCUCAUGCAUGCGUAUAUGCACACAUAUAGACUUUUGUUUCAUCAAAAUACUCUAGAAAAAGUAGAACAUCUCGCAUUCAAGCAUGACUCACAAAAAUCCAGGAAUGUAUCAAAUUCAUUAAAUCCUCACAUUUCAGGCAUGAAAAGUAUAGUGCGUGGGUGGGAAAAAAAAACCCUUGAUAUGGUGAUUCUUGAUACUUGAAUUUUUUCGAAAAAAGAUUAAUUAAAAAAUGUUUAAAAAAUCACAAUUCCAUGAUUAGAAGUCAAUUAGCCCCAGUUUCAAAAUAUUUAGGAGUAUUUGAUGAUAUCAUAAACACAUACACUCUAAUUUCGAGAGUUUGAAAAAGAUUAGUCAAUUUUGUCAAAAAAUGAGAAAAAAAAUCUAUUUUUUCCCCAAAUGAGUUACAUUUGAAUGUAUUGCUUGUAUCUUUAUACAUGCUAUCUUAUAUUAUUUUUAAUUGUAUGAAAUGACUUUUCAUAUACUUGCAUUAGUUCAACCAAACAAUGCAUAGGGUCGGACAUUGUACAAAAGAAACCUGUUAUGUGCAUUCACUGUGGUGGUAUUUUGAUUUUUAGGUGUGUAGUAAUAUUUUUUUAAGAAUUCCUAAAAUUUUGUUAAAAAAUUGAUCAAUUUCCUAAUGUUUCUCAACAUUUCCCAACAGCAGCGAUACAGUAUGCAGUACAACCAAAAUAUCCUCUGCUAUAAUUGAUAUGUAUGCAUAUCUGAAAUGUGCAAUACAUUACAUUAUGUGAUAAUGUUAUAGAAGACAUUAAUUUGAACUUGUCUAAAUACAUAAGUGAACUUUUGAUACCUUGAAUAUGAGGAUUUAAGGAAUUUGAUAAAUUCACAAAAGUUUUAAAAUCUCCUCCUCCAUUGCUUACAAUUAGGCAUUUGAGCUGGACCAAGCUGUUUUGCAGGGAAACCUUGCAAAGCCUAGAAGUCUCAAAUUUCCAUGCAAAACUGGAAUAUUUGGCUAAUGUAGUUAACCUUUGGUGCCAAAUCUCUUGGAAAUCAACUCCAAAAUAUUCUUAACCAAAGAUAGACACAAUCUUUCCACCGUUAGAGAUGUAUCCAAACUAGAAGUUUUUUCUUUUUAAUUUCCAUUUGAAUGAAUGGUGAAGGGUAAUCUCCCACAUAUUCGUUGCAAAAAUGUAUAUGGACUCUUCUUUUAUUCCCUCAUUUCUUAUCAUGCAGGACUGAGGGAGUGAAAGGAUGUCUCAUUGGAAGUUUGAGCACCCUAGGCAUGGGUCUCUUGGGUUUCUCCUGAGAAAGCGAGCUUCUCGUCAUAGAGGGAAAGGAUGGAACUUACGCAAUCCUACAUAGCAUUUAGUAUAGGUUACAUGUGACUCAAGCGAUACACACACAUCAUUUCUUUUAUUGUUUGACAAGUUGUGUAAUAUAAUAAUUAAAGAGAAGUGCCAAGUCCAACUAGUUGGAUCAUAAGUUACAACUCACCCAACGGAUGACUUCCAACCUAUUGAGUGCAUGUGAGACCCAACUAGUCCGAUUGAUUGACCCCACCAUGAAGAACACCUUGUGUAAAAAAAGAAAAAGAAAAUCUGCUCAUCAAGUAGACCCCACAAGUAUAUUGCUAUUCAUGGAUGGCUAUACAUUGCUUUUUAUGGUGUGGCCCAGUUAAUGGGUAGAUAGGGCUGACUUUUGCAUUAGUUGAUCCUCAUGGUGAGGCCAACCUAUUGGAAGGAUUGGGUGUCACAAGCACUUAACAUGUUGGACAUUAUCCAUUGGAUGGACUGUAACAUCCCGAAUUUUCACGGCUACAGUUUAUACUCGUGCCCGAGAAAACCGGGUGUUAAUAAUGUAAAGUUAGAUGCUUUAAAAAUCGCACUAU